rnacentral:rRNA from 1 species
UACGGAGGGUGCAAACGUUGCUCGGAAUCAUUGGGCGUAAAGCGCACGUAGGCGGACUGUUAAGUCGGAUGUGAAAGCCCUCGGCUUAACCGAGGAAGUGCAUUCGAAACUGGCAGUCUUGAGUACAGAAGAGGGUCGCGGAAUUCCCGGUGUAGAGGUGAAAUUCGUAGAUAUCGGGAGGAACACCAGUGGCGAAGGCGGCGACCUGGGCUGAUACUGACGCUGAGGUGCGAAAGCGUGGGGAGCAAACAGGG